rnacentral:rRNA from 1 species
GAUGAACGCUGGCGGCGUGCCUAAUACAUGCAAGUCGAGCGAACGGACGAGAAGCUUGCUUCUCUGAUGUUAGCGGCGGACGGGUGAGUAACACGUGGAUAACCUACCUAUAAGACUGGGAUAACUUCGGGAAACCGGAGCUAAUACCGGAUGAUAUUUUGAACCGCAUGGUUCAAAAGUGAAAGACGGUCUUGCUGUCACUUAUAGAUGGAUCCGCGCUGCAUUAGCUAGUUGGUAAGGUAACGGCUUACCAAGGCAACGAUGCAUAGCCGACCUGAGAGGGUGAUCGGCAACACGGAAACGGGGACCCGGCCCAGACCCCUAGGGGAGGCAGCGGUAGGGAAUUUUCCGAAAGGGGCGAAAGCCUGACGGAGCAACGCCGGGGGGGUGAUGAAGGUCUUGGGUUCGAAAAACUUUUUUAUUGGGGAAGAAAAUUUGUUUAAGUACCGGUGCAAAUCUUGGGGGUACCUAAUCAGAAAGCCCCGGCAAACUGCGG